CCUACGGGCGGCAGCAGUGAGGAAUAUUGGUCAAUGGACGAGAGUCUGAACCAGCCAAGUAGCGUGAAGGAUGACUGCCCUAUGGGUUGUAAACUUCUUUUAUAUGGGAAUAAAAUGUUCCACGUGUGGGAUUUUGUAUGUACCAUAUGAAUAAGGAUCGGCUAACUCCGUGCCAGCAGCCGCGGUAAUACGGAGGAUCCGAGCGUUAUCCGGAUUUAUUGGGUUUAAAGGGAGCGUAGGUGGAUUGUUAAGUCAGUUGCGAAAGUUUGCGGCUCAACCGUAAAAUUGCAGUUGAAACUGGCAGUCUUGAGUACAGUAGAGGUGGGCGGAAUUCGUGGUGUAGCGGUGAAAUGCUUAGAUAUCACGAAGAACUCCGAUUGCGAAGGCAGCUCACUGGACUGCAACUGACACUGAGGCUCGAAAGUGUGGGUAUCAAACAGGAUUAGAUACCCCAGUAGUC
rnacentral:rRNA from 1 species